AGCAGCCGCGGUAAUUCCAGCUCCAAUAGCGUAUAUUAAAGUUGCUGCAGUUAAAAGCUCGUAGUUGAAUUUCGGGACCAUCAUGUCGGUCGUGCCUCGGUACGUACUGGCAUUGUUGGUUUCUACCUUCUGACGAACCAUGAUGUCAUUUAUUUGGUGUCGUGGGGAAUCAGGACUGUUACUUUGAAAAAUUAGAGUGUUUAAAGCAGGCUCACGCUUGAAUACAUUAGCAUGGAAUAAUGAAAUAGGACGUUUGAUUCUAUUUUGUUGGUUUCUAGGAUCGACGUAAUGAUUAAUAGGGAUAGUUGGGGGCAUUAGUAUUCAAUUGUCAGAGGUGAAAUUCUUGGAUUUAUUGAAGACUAACUACUGCGAAAGCAUUUGCCAAGGAUGUUUUCAUUAAUCAAGAACGAAAGUUAGGGGAUCGAAGACGAUCAGAUACCGUCGUAGUCCUAACCAUAAACUAUGCCGACUAGGGAUCGGAUGAUGUUAAUUUUUUAAUGUACUUCAUUCGGUACCG
rnacentral:misc_RNA from 1 species